AACGAACGCUGGCGGCAUGCCUAACACAUGCAAGUCGAACGAAGCCUUCGGGCUUAGUGGCGCACGGGUGCGUAACGCGUGGGAAUCUGCCCUUGGGUUCGGAAUAACAGUUAGAAAUGACUGCUAAUACCGGAUGAUGUCUUCGGACCAAAGAUUUAUCGCCCAAGGAUGAGCCCGCGUAGGAUGAGGUAGUUGGUGGGGUAAUGGCCAACCAAGCCGACGAUCCUUAGCUGGUCUGAGAGGAUGAUCAGCCACACUGGGACUGAGACACGGCCAAGACUCCUACGGGAGGCAGCAGUGGGGAAUAUUGGACAAUGGGCGAAAGCCUGAUCCAGCAAUGCCGCGUGAGUGAUGAAGGCCUUAGGGUUGUAAAGCUCUUUUACCAGGGAUGAUAAUGACAGUACCUGGAGAAUAAGCUCCGGCUAACUCCGUGCCAGCAGCCGCCGUAA
rnacentral:rRNA from 1 species